GGGAGAGAAAUAUUUUGAGUUAAUUGUAAAGAAUUGAUAAACACUUUCUUUUCUUCUUUUUCUCUCUUUCUCUCUUCUUUGUGCUCAAAGCUUUCUGUUACAUCCAUAAUCACGCUAUCUGGCUCAUCUUUUCUUGAUCGUUCUUUUCCCCUUUCUUUCUCCUUUUCACGCUCUUUUUCUUUCUCCCUUCUCUCCUUAUCCUUCCUCUUCUCUUUCUCAUCUUUUUCUUUCUCUUUUUUGACUUUUUCCUCCUCACGUUUGCGUUCCUUUUCUUUUGCUUUUUCCUGCAACCAUGCAACAUAUUCCUCAAAGACUGCCCUUGAGAUUGUCUCUUCACCAAUAGCUCUGAACUCUGAACUAUCCUCCACAAGUUCUUUGCUCUCCUCCCAACUAGAGGAAUCAGUUAUUUCCUUAAUGGAACUGAGCUUGUCGGUAAAAUCUUUUGCAAGCCUUUGACGCUUUUUAGCUUCUUUCUCUUCCUUUUCCUUUGCUCUCUCAACUAGAUCCUCAAAAAUAAGCUGUAGAUUAACAUCUUGAAUGGAUGGGGAACUAAUUCCCUCCAAAAUUGCAACUUUGAAGUCUUCAAAUGUACAUGUUGGUGAGAUCGUGAUCUUUUCUGACUUAACUACAUCUUUUACAUGAAUCUUGUCUUCAUGAUACUGUUUUUCCAACUCUUCAGUGACAUCUUCAAACAAAUCCUUUGGUGUUGAACCAGAAGUAUUUGAUGCAACAGCCUGAUAAGCCACAGACUCCUUAACCAUCUGCCAAUAAUCACGCCAAUAUGUUUUUGCAGUAAGCAUGCCUGCAGCAAUAUGCUCCUCUAUCAUCUUUCGGAAUGCAUCCCGGUUUUUGCGCUCUGCACGCCGCAGUUGCUCCUUUUGCAAUUUUCUCUGUUCUUCGUCCUCCUUCUCCAGGUCACGAAUGUAUUCCUGGAAAAUAUCUAAGCGGUCAAGUUUUUCAAGGCGUGAACAUCUUUCAUCAUCUUCCAAAAGAUCUUGGACUUUGCGCCACUGUGUAUCAACCUUGAUAAAGCCACAAGUCUCCAAAAACUGUUUGUACUCCAAUCUAUUCCGUCGAUACUCUUCUUGAGCCUUUGACCUCUCCUUUUUCUGAAGAUCCACCAAGUAGUUCCUGAAAAGAUCUUCACGAUCAGCCUCUCGUUCAACACCCUUGAACCGUUCAUCAUCCUCAAACAUUGUUACUGCCUUACUCCAUCUUGUAGAUGAAGUGAGUUCCUUGGACUCCUCUAACAUCUUUGUGAAUUCCUCUUUUGCCUUUCUUUGUCUAAGGCGCCUCUCCUCAGCCUCCUGUUUCUUCCUUUGCAUCAAGUACUCAUUAAAUGCUUGUUUCCGCUCACCAAGAGUUUUCAGAGCCCCAUACCGUUUAUCAUUGAUUAUAACUCGCAUUGUCUGCUCCCAUGUCCAAUCAGAUUCAACAGUAGCAGACUCUAAUAGAGAUUUGAAUGCAUGUUUAGCCUCCUGCUUGGUGGCAUAUAGAAAAGGUUCUUCAUCUGCUGAUUUCUCUUCUGCAGGUACCACAUUGAUCUUCCCAGCAACUGCCAUGCCUUUCUUUGCCUCCUCAAUAUCCUGACUAGAAGCUCCACUUAAAGAACUAGCAACUUGAGGAGAUAAAUUUUCAAUGCCACUCAUUUGUGUCUGAUAGGCAUUAGCUAGAGCAGCAGAUCUUGUAUUCCCUGAAACAGCAGGUGAAGAGAUACCGGCUGAACUUGUCACAGCAAAGCUCACAGUAGGAAUGGCUGAUGAUCCAGAUACCACCAAAGGUGGAGUAUUAACAUCAGAAACAGCAGGCGUAACUGGAACAGGGCUUGAAGGAACUCCAGAAACCGUUGAAGAAGGUGUGGAGCUAACCGGGGUGACAGCAGAUGGUUGUUCUGUUGAGGUCACAGCUUCACUGACUUGCACACCAGAAUUUGUGCUUGUUCCAGUCUGAACUACUUGACUAGCAACAUUUUCAGCGAGUUCACGAGCCAACUUUAGUUCAUCAGGCAUUGUCCACUUAGACUGCUUGGUUUCUUUGUUGUAGUAAUACUUCCGACCAUCGGCAGUUGUGAAUUCUUUCCAUACAGUCGAAGCAUCAGCUCUCUCUAAAGGUGUCAUCAGCUCCAACGGCUUCUCCCAGCUAGAUUGCUUUGUAUUCUUAUUGUAAUAAUAUCGUCUCCCAUCAGCAGCUUCAUACUCUUGCCAGUCAGAUGCAGUCUGCUGAGAAGCUGUGCUCGCCGGAACUGCUGGAGCUACAGCUAACAAUUGGUGACUACUCGGGGGAGUAGGGUCACCCACUGGUGUGGUUUGACUUCCAGAUGACAAC
rnacentral:misc_RNA from 1 species